rnacentral:rRNA from 1 species
UUACCAAGCCUUUGAUCGGUACGGGUUGUGAGAGCAAGAGCCCGGAGAUGGAACCUGAGACAAGGUUCCAGGCCCUACGGGGUGCAGCAGGCGCGAAACCUCCGCAAUGUGAGAAAUCGCGACGGGGGGAUCCCAAGUGCCAUUCUUAACGGGAUGGCUUUUCUUUAGUGUAAAAAGCUUUUGGAAUAAGAGCUGGGCAAGACCGGUGCCAGCCGCCGCGGUAACACCGGCAGCUCUAGUGGUAGCAAUUUUUAUUGGGCCUAAAGCGUCCGUAGCCGGUUUAAUAAGUCUCUGGUGAAAUCCUGUAGCUUAACUGUGGGAAUUGCUGGAGAUACUGUUAGACUUGAGACCGGGAGAGGUUAGAGGUACUCCCAGGGUAGAGGUGAAAUUCUGUAAUCCUGGGAGGACCGCCUGUUGCGAAGGCGUCUAACUGGAACGGUUCUGACGGUGAGGGACGAAAGUUAGGGGCGCGAACCGGAUUAGAUACCCGGGUAGUCCUAACUGUAAACGAUGCGGACUUGGUGUUGGGGUGGCUUUGAGCUGUUCCAGUGCCGAAGGGAAGCUGUUAAGUCCGCCGCCUGGGAAGUACGGUCGCAAGACUGAAACUUAAAGGAAUUGGCGGGGGA